GAUGAACGCUGGCGGCGUGCCUAAUACAUGCAAGUCGAGCGAACAGAUGAGGAGCUUGCUCCUCUGACGUUAGCGGCGGACGGGUGAGUAACACGUGGAUAACCUACCUAUAAGACUGGGAUAACUUCGGGAAACCGGAGCUAAUACCGGAUAAUAUAUUGAACCGCAUGGUUCAAUAGUGAAAGACGGUUUUGCUGUCACUUAUAGAUGGAUCCGCGCCGCAUUAGCUAGUUGGUAAGGUAACGGCUUACCAAGGCGACGAUGCGUAGCCGACCUGAGAGGGUGAUCGGCCACACUGGAACUGAGACACGGUCCAGACUCCAACGGGAGGCAGCAGUAGGGAAUCUUCCGCAAUGGGCGAAAGCCUGACGGAGCAACGCCGCGUGAGUGAUGAAGGUCUUCGGAUCGUAAAACUCUGUUAUUAGGGAAGAACAAAUGUGUAAGUAACUAUGCACGUCUGGACGGUACCUAAUCAGAAAGCCACGGCUAACUACGU
rnacentral:rRNA from 1 species